UCCACGCCGUAAACGAUGGAUGCUAGCUGUAUGCCGUAUCGACCCGGUAUGUAGCGAAGCUAACGCGUUAAGCAUCCCGCCUGGGGAGUACGGUCGCAAGAUUAAAACUCAAAGGAAUUGACGGGGACCCGCACAAGCGGUGGAGCAUGUUCUUUAAUUCGACGAUAACCGAAGAACCUUACCUGGACUUGACAUCCUGCGAAGGUCUCCGAAAGGAGAUUGUGCCUUCGGGAA
rnacentral:rRNA from 1 species